UACAUGGGGUGCAAACGUUGCUCGGAAUUAUUGGGCGUAAAGCGCGCGUAGGCGGUUUUUCACGUCGGAUGUGAAAGCCCUCGGCUUAACUGAGGAAGUGCACCCGAAACUGAGUAGCUAGAGUACCAAAGAGGGUCGCGGAAUUCCCGGUGUAGAGGUGAAAUUCGUAGAUAUCGGGAGGAACACCGGUGGCGAAGGCGGGUCUCUGGGCCGAUACUGACGCUGAGGAGCGAAGGCGUGGGGAGCGAACAGG
rnacentral:rRNA from 1 species